rnacentral:lncRNA from 1 species
GGAAAAAUAAAGUCCAAAGGUUUAUUUGAUUUUAUUUGAUUUAAAGUGUUUGAUCUGAUGAUUUAUGGCUGAAGAGGUUAUUAAUUUAUAAGCUAAGGUAUUAUUCAUCCUGGGACUAUAGCUCUGAGAUAAACAUACCUCUAGUACUACUAAGAAUCUUUAACUUAAGCCAUACUAAUUAUCUCUAAAUUUACAUUUUUAGUUUGAAUUAUAUCCAGGAGAUCCCCUGGAAUAUGAAAGAAGUCAAUUAAAGAGAUGUCAACUGGAAAGAUUCAGAAGAUGGUGAAUAACUCCAAGGGUCUACCAGAUGAUGCUGAAAAGUGGAGUGAUGACGACCCAGAAGGGAAGGAAGGAGAGCUGCCGACAAAGCAGGCAACCUUCGGGGAGAGACCGGGGCCCAUCUCAUGUGCGACAAAGGUAAGCGGUAAGAAAGCCAGAGCAGGGCUUUACACUGGCGGCCACCAGAAGAGCUGUCCUGGCCAUCAGAGAGAUUCAUCAGUCCUUUCCAGGGGUUGAGGGGGUUGAGGGGAGCUUGGUGGCAAAGUGGGGUGUAAGUACUUUCAGUUUCUUUACAAUAGAGACAACUACAGUCAUGUGCUGCAUGAUGAUGCUUCAGUCAACAACAGACCGUAGGUAUGAUGGUGGUCCCACAAGAUUAGUACCAUAUAGCCUAGGUGUGUAACAGGCUAUACCAUCCAGGUUUGUGUAAGGACACUCUACGAUGUUCGCACAAUGAUGAAAUCACCUAACGAUGCAUUUUUCAGAGUGUAUCCCCGGUGUUAAGUGCCACGUGACUGUAUAGCAAGACCGUGGGUAAGAGUGCUGGGGCUGGAGUCAUACCACCUGGGUUCAAAUGCUGGCCCUGCACUUGCUACCAUUUAUUAGUCUGGAAAACUUCACUGCCUGUGGAAGACAUGGAGAUACGCUGCUCGUCUUCCCCUUCGAGAAUGGACUUGCUGCUCAGGUAGAGGAGUGUGGAUAGCAGACAGCCUCCAGCUAUUAGCAGGGUCCACCCUGGCUUUCAAGCUGAGGUCAUGCCACUAUUGAGGCAGCCCCUGCCAGUGACUAAGCAUGAGAUGGUGCGAACACCUAGGCCUUUCAUUCAAAAGGAGGCCUCCUCGAAUGGGUGGUCUUUGCUCUGCUCCCCGUUGGACUUGGCAGAAUCUUUGUCAAGUCCAGAUGUUGGCUCCCCUUGACCAGUCCUGCUUCCUCCCCAGUUCUGUCACAGGUGUUACUCCACCGUAAACUUGUUCUACUCUUACUUCCAUCUCAGCAUCUGCUUCCCAGAGAACCGAACCAGUGCCACGGCCCUAUGCCUCAGUUUCCUCUUCUGUAAAUUGGGCAUAAUAAAUUUGAAAGCUAAUUUAUUGCUGUUAUGAGG